CAAGUCGAACGGGGCCAAAUUAGUAGCAAUACCGGUUUGGUUCAGUGGCGCACGGGUGCGUAACACGUGAGCAAUCUGCCGGGAAGUGGGGGAUAGCUCGCCGAAAGGCGAAUUAAUACCGCAUGUGGCUAUCUUUUGAUUAAUGGAAAAGCCAAAGCGGCAAUGCGCUUCCUGAUGAGCUCGCGGCCUAUCAGCUAGAUGGCGGGGUAAAAGCCCACCAUGGCGAUGACGGGUAGCUGGUCUGAGAGGACGACCAGCCACACUGGAACUGAGAUACGGUCCAGACACCUACGGGUGGCAGCAGUCGAGAAUUUUUCACAAUGGGGGCAACCCUGAUGGAGCGACGCCGCGUGGAGGAUGAAGGCCUUCGGGUUGUAAACUCCUGUCAUGCGGGAACAAGAAAGUGAUAGUACCGCAAGAGGAAGAGACGGCUAACUCUGUGCCAGCAGCCGCGGUAAUACAGAGGUCUCAAGCGUUGUUCGGAUUCAUUGGGCGUAAAGGGUGCGUAGGUGGUGAUGCAAGUCUGGUGUGAAAUCUCGGAGCUUAACUCCGAAAUGGCA
rnacentral:rRNA from 1 species